rnacentral:rRNA from 1 species
UACGUAGGGGGCAAGCGUUGUCCGGAAUCAUUGGGCGUAAAGAGCGUGUAGGCGGCCCGAUAAGUCCGCCGUGAAAGUCCAGGGCUCAACCCUGGAAUGCCGGUGGAAACUGUCGGGCUGGAGUCCGGAAGAGGCGAGUGGAAUUCCUGGUGUAGCGGUGAAAUGCGCAGAUAUCAGGAGGAACACCGAUGGCGAAGGCAGGUCUCUGGGCCGAUACUGACGCUGAGGAGCGAAAGCGUGGGGAGCGAACAGG